rnacentral:piRNA from 1 species
UCCAUUUUAAAGAACUGAAAUUCCCUGUAG